UAUUAAUUUUCACAAAAAAUUUUCCAAUUGUAAGUUCCCUCCAUUAAUUUUCACUAAAAAUUCUGCAAUUGUAUUGUUCCCUCUAUUACACUAAAACCCUAAAAAGAAAAAAAUUGAGCGUCUCUUUUUGUUAUUCCUCUCAAAAUGUUGGCUAGCCAUCUUUAUCUCAUCAAUGGACUCUCAAUCAUCGUCCCAACUUUUGUAUCCUUUCUCACUUGUAUCUGGUUUAUUCCUUUCUUGAACCAUUCUUGUUGUAUUUUCUGGGUGUUUUUUUGGACAUUGAUUUGGGAUUAGGGUUGAUAAGAUAGCGGCUGAUAUUUGUGACUUGACCCUUUAAUCCAGCUCAAUGGGAGCCUGGUCACUAUUGCUGAAAACGUUAUGGGCUCAAGGAAGAUUGAUGAGAACAGUGAAUCCAUACUACAUCAUGGGCAAAGGUACAAUGCUGCCUACUUCUCACAUUCACUCUUAAGCGUCUUGGGACUGAUUAUAUUGAUUUGUUGCAAAUUCACUGGAAUCUUAUGUUAGAGAUGACGAACCAGACAGAUAAACUAGAUUUUUGAACUAUUAAUUUCUAAAUACGUGAUUUUCUGCUCCGUAAAACCACCAUAUCAAAUGGGAUUCUUUAUUGACUAUAAUGUUGAUGAUAUACUAAGACAAGCAACUGAGUCAACUCUUCGGUAUCAAAGAGGGGAACCAAUAUCGGUGCUAGACGGAGUACCUGUUGCAAUAAAGGACGAGAUAGAUUGUUUGCCGUAUCCAACAACAGGAGGUACAAAGUGGAUGCAUAAGGAAAGGCCUUGUAAAGACGAUGCAUGUUGUGUUAAGCGUUUAAGGAAAUGCAGUGCCAUACUUGUUUGAAAUCCAAUAUGAACGAACUUGGGUCUGGAACUAGUGGGAUAAACCCACACUAUGGGCCUACUAGAAAUCCAUAUGAUUGCGAAAAGAUUGCAGGAGGUUCUUCUGGUGGAUCUGCGUCUUUGGUGUCAGCAGGACUAUGCCCUGUUUCUCUUGGUGUUGAUGGAGGAGAAAGUUGUUCAUGAUGUUCUGAGUUUCAGAAAAGAAAUAGAUGGAAUCGCAGUUGAUAUAGCUUUGCAAUGUUCAGAACAGAGAGAGACAGACGCAGAGAGAAAUAUGAAUGCUCGGACGAAAAAAAGAUUGAGAAGAAGUGCAGAAUCAGACGCUACAGCAUCAAACUCGAAGCCCGUGACGAGAUUCUCUGCUUCAUCACUCAAUUCGAACUCAACGAACAAGAGAACGAAUCUCGUCCUCGAUCAUCCUGAACACGAACCCUUCAAAUCUACAGUCAUCGACGUGGAGACAGUUCAACGAAUGGUGAAAUUGCUACUGGAAGCCGACGCGGCGGAUGAAACCUUUGAAACCUUCGCUUCAUAUUCUUCUUCCGCUAUUGUCGUCAUUGACGUGUUUGAUGUUCCUAGAUAUAAAUAUGAUGCUAUCAGAAGUAAUUUCCACUAGGAUAGGUUUCUGUUGUUGUCCCAGAGGCUUUCUCGUCACCAAGAUUUUUCGAAACCUGCUUUUGAGUCUGAACUUUCCCAAUUCAGGAGUCGUGAGUGUUUUUAGGAGUAGAUCUCAUCCACCAAUGCCUGAACAUCUGUCUGCUGAGGCAAAGGACUUUUUGCUGAAAUGCUUUCACAAGUACAUAUAAAAUGCUUUUACCAUUUUUAUUUUAUUAAAACUGCACAAUUUUAUUCCGACUGCAUUCGUUUUAAAAAGGCUAGUGAUACAGUUUGACAUUUAGCUCUUAAGUUCUAAUCAUUACACAUCAAUUUGUGGUGGCAGGGAACCAGAUUUAAGACCUUCUGCAUCAGACUUGUUACUGGUAUUUUGCAAAUCUUCCUCCUCUUCAGCCAACUUACCAUCCAUUCAUCACUUGCGAGUAUCAGGAAUCUCAUUCAAUGUCACGCAGUUCAGUCAGGGUCAGUGUCCCUUGCAUGAAAUUCAGCCUUCUGAGCUUUAUGAGUCAAAGGAGACUCUUCAUGAUGCUGAGCUGGGAUCAAGUGUCAGUUUUUUACGCUGAAAUUGUGGGAACAAAGUUCUGAUCUGAUGGGUGGUUUAUCAAACUCGCGUUCAGAAGGAAAGAUUUGGAGAGAAACUUAACCUUUACGAAGAAGCAAGAGGAAAGUAUAUCGUGAAUCAAGAUGUUCUAAAGGUGAUGCAAAAUCAUGCUGUUGUAAUGCACCCUCUUCCAAAACUCGACGAAAUUGAAGCUGAUGUCGGUAAUGAUCCUAGAGCUGCAUAUUUUAGGCAGGCAAAUACUGGUUUAUACAUUAGGAUGGCUCUGUUAAAAGUUUUGCUUCUUGGUUGGUGAAAGAUGCAUUCACUUUCCAAGUGAUCAAGAUGAUAAAUUGUCUCAGUUGUUAUCUUUGUUAACUUGUUUUCGGUUCCUAUGUUGGUAUGAGAGUCUCACAUAUAGAGUGAGAAAGAGAGGGAAACAUAAUUUUUAGACAUUAGUAUUAACUUUUGAUAUGCAAGUUUUUCUAUUUA